GGUGUGUGUAUGUCGAUCGACCAGGAGAAGAGAACAAGGGGUGCAAACCCUAGUUCAUCAAAAUCUUCAAAUUGAAGGAUCCAAUCAAGUCCAAACCGAAAAUCGAGCAUAGAUUAAUGAUCCCCAUUGCAAGGAGAUCAUAAGUUGGCGCUUAACAAGCUAGGUGAAGCUUGGGGAGAAAGCGGGUCAAACAAAUCAAGAAGGAAAGGAAAAGUGUAGCUUGGAUACGAGGUACUUUGUGGAUGCCGGAAGAAGAUCAAGCUCAACGAAGAACCGAACACGAAAUAGAUACACGUUUCCGCACAUUGCCACGUUGUAAAUUUUAAACAACGAACUCGAUUACGUUAUGUUGAAUAACUUAUGAUUUGUUAAAAGUUUUAAU